UGGGGGAUAUUGCACAAUGGACGAAAGUCUGAUGCAGCGACGUCGUGUGGGGGAUGAAGGCCUUCGGGUUGUAAACUCCUUUCGCCCGCGGAAAAGGCAGGGUUUUGGCCUUGUUGAUGGUAGUGGGUAAAGAAGCGCCGGCUAACUACGUGCCAGCAGCCGCGGUAAUACGUAGGGCGCGAGCGUUGUCCGGAAUUAUUGGGCGUAAAGGGCUCGUAGGCGGUUUGUCGCGUCUAGCGUUUAAGGCUCGGGCUUAACCCGGGUUUGCGUUGGGUACGGGCAGGCUUGAGUGCAGUAGGGGUAACUGGAAUUCCUGGUGUAGCGGUGGAAUGCGAAGAUAUCAGGAGGGACAGCGGUGGCGAAGGCGGGUUACUGGGCCGUUACUGACGCUGAGGAGCGAGAGCGUGGGGAGCGAACAGG
rnacentral:rRNA from 1 species